CAAGGCUCAGAGCACUCUUCAUGUAAAGAAGGGCAAAGAGAGGCAACUAGCAUGAAGUUUGAAACCACUGGCUAGCCAGACCCAGUAACAAUAAAAGGGUCUGGACCUCUGUUCUUGCCUGGCUAAUAGAUAAAAGUAACUUUAAUGCUUAGGGCCUAGAUAUCCUAAAGGCACCAGAUCCUGUCUGAUCCUGGAAGCUAAGAAGCCUCAGCCCUGCAUUAAGAAGAAUCUAAAGAGAGGCCUGAGAGCUGAUGAGACAUUGGAUCACUUCCAGCAAGAAAACCACUAAAAGGCUCAGUUACUAGAAGCUCCAUUGAAAGAUGAUAUCCAG